rnacentral:lncRNA from 1 species
GCAUUAUUUUUGUUUGGUUAGUUUGACUUUUAUUGAAGUAUAGUUGAUUAAUAAUACUGUGUUAGUUUCAGGUGUUCACCACAGCAAUUCAUAUAUAUAUAACUUAUCUAUAUAUAAUUUAUAUAUAUAUAAUUUUGGUGGAGGAAAUGGGAAACAUUGCUUACACAAAUUCUGACACCUUCUCUUGUGGUUUAGAAAAAUGAUGGAUAUGGAAGGCAGAAGAGUGUACAAAGAGAGGAAAGAAACGGUAGGACAGGAAAAUAAAUGCAAGGCCAUAACAUUUUGAAGGCCAGGAAAGGGGCUGCGCGUGCUGCAUUAGCCUAAACGUGGCGGAAGGAAAGCAGGGAGGCAGGGGGGUGCUUCUCCCGCAAGUCCUGAUGGGAGGGGUUUCCAGAAAACGGCUGGCCGCGCGUGCGGUGCUUUACUCACGUCUGGAGACAGCUCAAUAAAGCAGCUUUUCCUUUUCCAGAAACACGCCAAUGCACCGAGACAAGACUUGAAUGAAGCGAUAAUGUAAAUUAGAGAAAGGAGAUAAAAAUAACCUCUGGAUAUCCCUCUUGUAUGAGAUUUAUUCUGGAUGAAGCAUUAAGAUCGUUACUGGAAGUGUAUUACUAUUAUGGCUCUUAUUAUAGCAAUUCUAUACUUAGAAAGGAGCUUUAGUUGGCAGAGCUACAGAGUGUGUUUCAGUUAUGAAGGAACACAUUUUAACAUCAUGCCAGCAGGAUUUGCAUUUCUUUCUUAAAGAAAAUUUGAAGUAUUAACAUUUGACAGAUUGCUAGAGAAAACUGAGGAACAUCAUCAGUAGAACUGGAAACAUAACAUGGAAAAACCUAAGAUGCAAAGAUGAGUCUCAGAGAUGACCUAUGUUCAGAGAGGGAAGAAAGAAGCAAUUGAAAGUUCUGAAAAGGGCACCACUAUAAAUGUUGGAAAGAGGCCUGGAGAGAAGAAUCAUAAAAAUAUGAUUUCAUCAACACUUUUUUUUAGAGGAAAGAAAGACAGGGUUCUUAUCAUAGAAAUUGUUAUUUUUGAACAAUUUACUUUUACUCUAUGUCUUCUGUUAAAGGGUCAUCACUAAAUUGUUGGAAAGUGUCACAUAGAUCAGUCUUGUUAACUUUAUAGUUAAAGGCCUUGUAAAUCUACUGCCAUGUGUAAAGAAUGAAAUCUACUGAUAAAUUCUGUUUCCUUACAGUUACUUUUUAGUAUCUAGAGUAAAACUGUGACAAAGAGCAAACUGACCAGUUCACUGACCAGUUGUGUGUGUGUGUGUGUAUAUAUAUAUAUAUAGUAAUAGUUCUAUAUAUAUAUAUAGUAAUUUAUAUAAAAUAGAUAUUACAUUGUGGUCUCAGUAUUAUAAUUACAUCUAUAUAUUUUUGUAAUGCUAAAAGCAUCUGUACA